UACAGAGGUCCCAAGCGUUGUUCGGAAUUACUGGGCGUAAAGGGCUCGUAGGCGGCCAACUAAGUCGGAUGUGAAAUCCCCAGGCUCAACUUGGGAACUGCAUCCGAUACUGGAUGGCUUGAAUUCGGGAGAGGGAUGCAGAAUUCCAGGUGUAGCGGUGAAAUGCGUAGAUAUCUGGAGGAAUACCGGUGGCGAAGGCGGCGACCUGGGUCGAGACUGACGCUGAGGCGCGAAAGCGUGGGGAGCAAACAGG
rnacentral:rRNA from 1 species